UCCAGACUCCUACGGGAGGCAGCAGUGGGGAAUAUUGCACAAUGGGCGCAAGCCUGAUGCAGCCAUGCCGCGUGUAUGAAGAAGGCCUUCGGGUUGUAAAGAACUUUCAGCGGGGAGGAAGGCGAUAAGGUUAAUAACCUUGUUGAUUGACGUUACCCGCAGAAGAAGCACCGGCUAACUCCGUGCCAGCAGCCGCGGUAAUACGGAGGGUGCAAGCGCUAAUCGGAAUUACUGGUCGUAAAGCGCACGCAGGCGGUCUGUCAAGUCGGAGGUGAAAUCCCCGGGCUCAACCUGGGAACUGCAUUCGAAACUGGCAGGCUGGAGUCUUGUAGAGGGGGGUAGAAUUCCAGGGGUAGCGGUAAAAUGCGAGAAGAUCUGGAGGAAUACCGGUGGCGAAGGCGGCCCCCUGGACAAAGACUGACGCUCAGGUGCGAA
rnacentral:rRNA from 1 species